rnacentral:tRNA from 1 species
GCCGGGGUAGCUCAGCGGGCUAGAGCGCCAGACUCAUAAUCUGGAGAACCCCGAAGCCCAGGGUCCAGAAGCCGAGGGUUCGAAACCCUCCCCCGGCA